UUCACCUAUUUGUUCACUUAUUCUUUUAUUGUGAGUGCGCAUGUGUGUGGGUGUGUGUGACAUUUAUUACAAACCAGAAAGCAGGAGCCAGCGACACAGUGGUGCAGAGAAUAAUCAUAUUCCCUGCCUUCAUGGGGGCAUACAGCUUGGUGGAGGACACAGAUGUGAAUUCAAUAAUUGUUCCAAUAAAUAUUCUCCUACAGAUGAAGAAAGAUGAUAUGAUGUGAUGGACAACAGAGACUUAUAUGGUGGGGUCUGGGCUGGUCUUUCUGAAGCUAAGACUGGCAGGAUGAGCAGGAGUUUGCCAGACAAAGAGGAGUGGAGGUGUUUUCCAAACACAUCGCAGCAUAAAGUGUUGUCUUCGCUGGGAGCUGAAAAAAGAUAAUGUGGCCAGAGACCAUUAGGUGAGAUGCUGGAUAUGAGAUACAGCCUCAGCAGGUGGAAGAAGAUCGUGAGAGACGAAGAGAGGAAUAUAGUACAGCAGAGAGGACACAGAAGCUGAGGUCAAGGUGUCUCAGUUUGAAACCAGUGGCCACCCUGUUCCUCUCCCAUGUGGUCCCAUCAUGGGCCUUUAGGGUCUGGGAUAAGAGGUUAAUGAAUAUCUCAUACCCUAAGCAGGGGUGGUCCCUGCACUUUAGCAAAAAGUUAAGGAACUAGGGAAAAGAGAUGGAAAUAAUAAAGAAAUGGGACACAGACUUUGAAGACCAAAACCCUUGGGCUAUUCUCUCUUUUAAAUUUUUUAUUUAUAUUUUCUUUUAUUUUUAUCAAGACAGGGUCUCACUAUGUUGCCCAGGUUGGUCUCAAACUUCUGGCCUAAAGCAAUCCUCCCACCUUGGCCUCCCAACGUGCUGGGAUUACAAUGUGAGCCACCACGUCCGGCCUCCUGGGAUAUUUCUCAAUGAAACAUUGGAUGCCAAGAUUGGUUUUGUACCACAUGCCAAUUUCACAAAAGCCAGUCUAUGAGCCACCAGCUCUACUCAGCAAUUACAGCUUCCGGAACUUUGGCUAAAUUCCCGUAGAUGCACCACUGCUUGUGGCCUGACUCUUUACCACCCAAGUGCGCUCAGCCUCCCCUGGCGAGUCUGCCAGGCUUGCAUGGCUCCCACUGCACUUGCUGUGCUGGGACCGAAAACAGUUUUUGUGUCCCUAGCUUAACUCCACUGGAUUCACAGAGGCUUUGGCCUCCUCAAUGGCUGUCCUGGGACAGGGAGGCCAGUUAGCACAAUUAACACAACCUGGUCAUGCAAGGCAUUGAUGGUCCGUAACAUGAACUUUGACCAGUAGGAGACAGAGAAUGGUAAAAAGCCAGCAGAUAAAUCAUCUGGCCUUCCUCCCCUAUGACAGACUGUUCUGAGCCACAGCGUUUCACAUAUCUUCCCUGGAGAUGUCCCACAUGACUUGAGCAACCAGCUGGAGUUCUGGAGAAACUGUGGCCAUUCUAAGGAAGAAACAGGCCCAGAGAAGUUGGGUAACUCACCAAAGGUCACAGAACUAAGAGUGGCAGAUUCAGGCUUGGAGCCCAGGAAGUCUUGUUUCAAAUUUCAUGCUUCUAACCUGAGCGCUGUACUGCUUGGUGGAGUUCUCUGCUAGUCCUACCUUUCAGGCAGAGGUGAUGCAGCGAGAAAGCUGCCACCAGAUGCAGCCCCUUGAUCUUGGACUGCCCAGCCUCUAGAACUGAGUUGAAGAGCAAUUCCCUCCAUUUUCCAUUAGAAAUGCUUCUUCUUCCAUAUCAAAUAUUGUGGGAUAGCUUGAGACACAUUUCAACACUUCAUUACCCUUCUCCAAAAUUCAACAGAUAGGAUUUCCACAGACUUUACUCACGGAGGCUCCAGUAGAAGGGGAAGAGGCUUGGGUUUAAUUGAAGGUGGCCUCAGACAUCUGUGAGGAACAGCCCUUUUAGAGACAUAUCCCCUAUAAAGACAGCAUCAGAAUUAUUACCCUAAUA